rfam:Ovis aries breed Texel chromosome 1, whole genome shotgun sequence.
UCCCUGGUGGUCCAAUGGCUAAGACUUUGGGCUCCCAAUGCAAGGGGCCUAGGUUCUAUCCUUGGUCAGGGAA